UAACUCGAUUUCGUCUUCUGGA
rnacentral:siRNA from 1 species